rnacentral:lncRNA from 1 species
GCACAGGUACACAUACUAGUAUAUAAAUAAAAAGCCUUAGCAUCCUAACCCUAAAUCGAAGUGCAUCUGCCGCCGACGACAUUGGUAAAGGAGGAAGCAGCAUGGAGAAGAAUCAAAGUGCAUCUGCCUCAUGAAUUGAUCAUCCAAGUCCUCUUGAGGUUACCGGUGAAAUCUCUUGUACAUUUCAAAUGGAUUUGUAAGUCAUGGUUAACUCUUAUCUCCGAUCCUCACUUUGUAAUAUGUUUAUUGACAGCUUUAAUUGUUUGUGUGAUUCACUGUUGUUAUUUGUGCAUGUGUAAUUGGAUUGAGUUAUGAUGUAUGUUGUGAUCACUACUUAAAAUUGUUAUAUAUGGUAAAUUAUCUGUUGAGUUUAUGCAUGUUGAUCAACAUCACCAUCACAAUUACACCUAUUUGACUCAAAUUCAUUAAAAAGAAAUUAUUACAAGUCUAAUGAUUUUACUUUAUGCUUCCUAGUGUAUAAUCCCUUUAACAUCUCCCAAAUUUCUUUGUCUGGAAACUAUCCUCUAUUUUUGUUAUUUCCACCAAUAAAAACCGUAAUUCAUAACAUAGAGUACAAUGGACAAUCUAUAGUUCUGAAUACUUCUCUUUUUUAUGAAUCUGACUCCUCUAAAGUGAUUGAUUCACUUUAGAGUGUAAAGUGAGUAAUUUCAACUAUUAAUUAGUAAUAAAUUAAAGGUAGAUUUUAUAGGUACAUGAUAACAAAUUAUGGGGUUAUUACAACCACAACCCUUAAUUUCCUCACUUUACACUUAACUCACUUAGAGGAUCCAAUUCCCUUUUUUAUAUAUGUUCCUCUUUAGAUUAUGCCAUUUUCGAUCGCACAAUUGGAUGUGGAAUUGGAUCCAUUUUGCUCUUUGUGAUAGCAUAUAUGGUGUACAUCCACAUAUUGUGUUGAUCUUCCUUUGUUUUGUAAUAAGCAUCAUGUAGUAUGGCUCAAGAAAUUUGAUAAAUCCAAAAUAAAAAGAGAUACCAUAAGACAAUUGAGUUAUUAUUAUAAAUAAUGUUGAGAUUUUAAACUCAAUGUUGGAAUUUUAAAGAUUUUAUAUGAUUGAAAGAGACAAAAAUAGAACAUUUUGGGGAUCUUAAAGAUUGACAGAUCAAAGCCGUCUAAGUUAAAUAUGAUGAAAUCCAAUAUUAUACACAAAAAUUGAGUCUUGUGACAUUUUGAGGCGUAUACAUGAAGGAAACAAGUCCACUGGUAGAUAACUUGCGGGUAUACCCUAUAAAUGUAUACGCCGCAAAAUAUCUAUCAGUGGACUUGUUUCCUUCAUGGAUGCGUCUCAAAAUGGCACAACACUCAAUGUCUAUGUAUAAUGUUGUUGGAACUUCGAUGAUAUUUAAUUCAGAAGGCUUCAAUCUGUCAAUCUUUUUUUUUUUUUUUACAAUGAGUUGGGAAUCAAACCCAGUACCUAUAACAUACUACUCAAACCUCUCAGCACUAGACCAAACCUAGUGGCUUCGAUCCGUCAAUCUUUAAGAUCUUUCAUUUAUUGUUUUUGUCUCUUCCAAUCAUAUAGUAUCUUUAAAAUUACAACAUUAUUUAUCAUAAUAACUCAAGUUUCUUAUGAUGUCUCUUUUUAUUUAUGGUUUAUUAAAUUUCUUGAGCCAUACUACAUGUUAUUUAUAAACUAAAGGCAAUCAUCACCAUACAAGCCGGUUUUGUAAGGAUGAGCAGCAUCACAAAUAAGAGCAACAACAUCAGGAACCUCAACAGCAACCAAGAUGUGUUAUGGAAUAGGAAAAUUGGUCUUUGCUUUAGACCCUCGGAACAUAAUUGCUUUUUCAUCGUAAGCUCUGGCCGCUUCUAAAGCGGUGUUAAACUUUCCUAACCAGACACACGCCUUUUUGGAGGGAUCUUUGAUUUCUGCGGCGAAUCGUCCCCGUGGUCGCUUUCGAACGCCUCGGUAGCGGAUUUUUCGUGUCCGGAGUGAGAAAAUCCUACACCGGACAUGGAAAUCCGCUACCGAGACGUUCGGAAGGGACCGUGUGGACGAUUCUCCACAGAAAUCCAAGAUCCCUCCAAAAAGACGCGUGUCUGGUUAGGAACGUUUAACACCGCUUUAGAAGCGGCCAGAGCUUAUGAUGAAAAAGCGAUUAUGUUUUGAGGGUCUAAAGCAAAGACCAAUUUUCUUAUUCCAGAACACAUCUUGGUUGCUGCUGAGAUUGUUGUUGCUGAUGCUCCUAUUCGUGCUGCUGCUCAUCCGGUUAAUAAUGAUAGAAUUGAAAUUUUGAGAUACCGGUGAAUAGGCCUACUUCAAGCGAAAUGAGUAGUAUCGUUGAGUCAUUCAGUGGACCUAGGGCUAUUGUUGUUGGUUCGUCAUCAACAACAAUUGUUUCUAGGGUUCCUGUUGGUCCUGAGGAUUUUCAAGGUGAUUGUGAUUCAUCUUCAUCUAUUGUUGAUGAUGAUGAAGAUUGCGUUGUUGUUGCUUCUUCAUCAUCAUCGGUCAAGAAGCCGCUGGAGAUCGAUCUCAAUUUCCUUGCUCCGAUGAAUGAUGAAGAGAUCUGUGCUACCGCCUUGCAUCUUUGACUUACUGCUGCCGAUGCUGCUGAAUUAUCUUUUUUAUCUUUUAAUUUGAUGAAUGUAGUUUGUUGAGUCUUGGAAAAAAGAGGAAAAAGUAUGAAUUUUACUUUGUUAGAUUAUUAUGAAUAUGAUGAUUGUUGUAGAGUAUUGAAAUAGGGCAUGGUCAUCUAUGUAAUGUUAUGUGAUAAGUCGAUUUUGUAGGGUUGAGUUAGGCGCAAUCUACGAUGUUAUCAGAGCCUCCUCGACGAUUCUCUAGGCCUCUUGCUAUCAAUUAUUGAUCGAGCCAUCCACCAUUUAUAUCCGCGCCCCAAGCCCAAUAACGCUGAGCGCGAGUGAGGGUGUUAACAAGUUUCACAUCGGUUGCGAGAUGGCCUGAAUAUAUGUUUAUAAACUAGAGGUGAUCCUCACCAUACAAACCGGUUUUGUCAGGAUGAGUUAGACCCAACUCCCAAUUUCUAAGAUGGUAACAGAGUCUCCACGAUCCGCUGGGCUGCCUGCUAUCAAGUUCUGGUCGGGUCAUCCACCUUUCAUAUUUGCGCCUCAAGCCCAUAGUGCUUGGCGCGACGAGGUGUUAAGAAGUCCCACAUCGGUUGCGAGAUGGCCUUAAUAUGUGUUUAUAAAGUGAGGGCAAUCAUCACCUUACAAGCCAGUUUUGUAAAGAUGAGUUAGGCCCAAUACCCAAUUCUAAGAUGAUAUCAAAACGGAGGAAGAUCGAUACAAUAUGUGGACACACUCUGUAUGCUAUCACGAAGAGUGAAAUGGUUCCAAUUCCACAUCCAAGUGUGCGGUCGAAAUCAGCAUAUUCUGAGAAUAGGUCUUUAGUCAAUUUUACAUGAACCUGUAAUAGUAGCAUUUAAGGAGAUAUAUAAUAGAAUCAUUCAAAACCUAUGAAGCACCGACACCUCAAUUAUUAGGCAUGUCGCGGUGUCCGACACGUGUCGGUGUCCGACAUUCGUAUGACACUCGUACAACACGUGUCGGAUAGCUCGUAUCGGUUUCGGAAAAAAUUCAAUUUUUCCUUCACUUUGACACUCCUUUGAUCGGUGUCCGACACCUUUAAGACACUCAUAUAACAUGUGUCGCACAAAUGUCCCAACAAUAAUUAUGUUUUCUUUGCUUAUACUCUCCUUAGACACAUAUCAAACAUAUCUUCAAGAGUUAAAGAUGUGCUGAAACAACAAUAUUGAUCAAUGAGGGAUUGAAAACAUUACAUUUUGAUUAUAAUAUUUUUAGUUUUUCGAUCGUAGAUAGAUAAAUAAAAGUAAAAUACUAUCCUAUCUUGUUUUAAAACUUUUUUUAAAAAAAAAAUUUGCUAAAAUUAGAUUUACAUGUAUAUAUUUUGAUUCUCAAUUUAUAUGUUUUAUAAAUAUGUAGCGGUGUCGAUGUCCUAUAUUUUUUACAUUAGCAGUGUCGCGGUGUCCCUGUUCGUGUCGGAGUCCGUGCUUCAUAGUUCAAAACUGUAGCCUGUCCUGCCCAUAAGCUUGCUAGAGCGGCCAUUUCUUGAGCUGGUCGCUAUUAUCUUGAAAGGAUACCUACUUGUAUUGAAACUAUUUUGAUUAAUGAAACUGUUUGUAAAAAAAAAAACUAUAGCCUGUCGAUUGUUCUUCAAUAUUAUGAAUUACGGUUUUUUAUUGGAGUUUGUGAUAUCGUGUAGCGAAAACGUUCUGUUAUAUAAUCAUUAUUAUACUUGGAACGGAUGGUGGUAAUGGAUUGGGUGAAGUGUGAUGACAAAGGACCGUUGCUAGAGCAUCACACCUACGUUUAUGUUCUAAUUUAUUUGAUGUGUUUAUGUUCUAAAAUGUAACACUAUCCUAUCCACACAUCCUUUUCUCUACUUAAAUUUGCAGAGUCCCUAUAUCAGUAAGAAAUACUACUAUAGGGGGAUGAGUGAUGAAUAUAAAGGAAUAAAUUUAUAUAUUAGUGUAUUUUAUCCACUUUGAAGCCAUGCUUUCUUAUCUGUAUUGAAGUCAUUAUAUAGCAUGAUUUGGCCCUAAUGUGUUCAAUUUAAUAUGCCCUGUUAUGUCACAACAUAAUUGUUUGGUAGAAUCCAAUUCAACAUAAAUUAGACAAUAUACUGUUCUAAAAUCAGCAGUGUAAUAUUUGUUUUUCAAAAUUAUUUAUAGGAUUGGGUCAAGUAGGUAACAAUGGUUUGCAUAUGUGAUGUUAUCAAUUCCUUUGAUGCCAUACAUAGUCAAUCUGCUAACAAAUUUUUGGUGAUCAUUGAAAAUUGUAAAACUAUCCUCAGCUUCUGGAGGUAACAAACUAUCAAGAGGCUUGGGAUUUUCAUAUCUUGGGUGAUAUUUGCUUAUUUCUUGUGCUAAUAUGAAUGUCCAGUAUCUGUACACUUCUUUUGUUGUAAUGUAUUGGCAUAAAUUCCCUUGAUAGAAACCAAAAGGCAAAGGCCAUUGUUUCAACUAUAAAUGUUGAUUCUACAACUACAGGUAGGUUUUGAAUGUUGAUACAAUUCUGAUAAUGAAAUGGUAUCAGAGCAUACAAAGUUACUUUACGCCUUAUGCGGCGAUCUAUAUGAAC